rnacentral:rRNA from 1 species
UGUCGCCUGCCCAGUGAAUAACAUCUAUUUUAACGGCCGCGGUAUCCUAACCGUGCAAAGGUAGCGUAAUCACUUGUCCCCUAAAUAGAGACCAGUAUGAAUGGCUAAAUGAGGGCUCAACUGUCUCCUAUGAUUGCCCAAUGAAACUGAUCUUUCAGUACAAAAGCUGAAAUAAGCCCACAAGACGAGAAGACCCUGUGGAACUUCAACUAUAUUACCAACCCAUCCUAACCAGCCAACAAGGCUGCCAUACCAUCUUGGCCCAUUGGUAAAAGUUUAAGUUGGGGCGACUACGGAGCAAAACAAAACCUCCACGAACAUCUCUUAGACUAACUAGUCAAACCGACAUCCUACCCUAGAUCCAGUAAAACUGAUCAACGAAACAAGCUACCCCAGGGAUAACAGCGCCAUCCUCUUCCAGAGUCCCUAUCGCCAGGAGGGUUUACGACCUCGAUGUUGGAUCAGGGCUCCCCAAUAGUGCAGCCGCUA